rnacentral:rRNA from 1 species
CGUAGGGUGCAAGCGUUAAUCGGAAUUACUGGGCUAAAGCGUGCGCAGGCGGCUAUGCAAGACAGAUGUGAAAUCCCCGGGCUCAACCUGGGAACUGCAUUUGUGACUGCAUGGCUAGAGUACGGCAGAGGGGGAUGGAAUUCCGCGUGUAGCAGUGAAAUGCGUAGAUAUGCGGAGGAACACCGAUGGCGAAGGCAAUCCCCUGGGCCUGUACUGACGCUCAUGCACGAAAGCGUGGGGAGCAAACAGGAUUAGAUACCCUGGUAGUCCACGCCCUAAACGAUGUCAACUGGUUGUUGGACGGCUUGCUGUUCAGUAACGAAGCUAACGCGUGAAGUUGACCGCCUGGGGAGUACGGCCGCAAGGUUG